CUAGCUGGUCUGAGAGGAUGACCAGCCACACUGGAACUGAGACACGGUCCAGACUCCUACGGGAGGCAGCAGUGGGGAAUAUUGCACAAUGGGCGCAAGCCUGAUGCAGCCAUGCCGCGUGUAUGAAGAAGGCCUUCGGGUUGUAAAGUACUUUCAGCGGGGAGGAAGGGAGUAAAGUUAAUACCUUUGCUCAUUGACGUUACCCGCAGAAGAAGCACCGGCUAACUCCGUGCCAGCAGCCGCGGUAAUACGGAGGGUGCAAGCGUUAAUCGGAAUUACUGGGCGUAAAGCGCACGCAGGCGGUU
rnacentral:rRNA from 1 species